rnacentral:lncRNA from 1 species
UGAACCCUCCAGCUCUCAAGGAGGACUGCCAGAAGCACGUUUGGGACCUGGGUGAGGAAGAGAGGAGCUAGGCCCUGGGCCAGCUGAAUUUAAUUGUGCAGCUAUUGUUCGCCUCCGUUGAGCCUCACCUCUGAACCUUCGAGGCAUCCGUCCUGGGAGGUGAUUUCUGUCUAAUCCCUAACUCCUGACACUUUUGCUGAGUAAGCCGUUCCCCCCUCCCCCACCUCCCCCAGGCUUAGCCACAGGCUACUCAUAAUUUUAGGUUCCUUUUGAUUAUAGCCCCAACUCUUGUUUCCCCGUGACACAACCCUACCUCUGCUAUUCUGUCUGCCUAGCCUCAUCCCGACGUUACUGGAAAAUCUUCCCCGUUCUAUCAUCCAGAGGUUGGAAGAAAGAAGGUGAUAUGGUUGGGUGGCAGUUGACGACAUGUAGGCAGGACUUCUUCAGUGGUUUGUGGAGUUCAGCCUAGAUCUAGAGAAGUGAAAGUAAGGCUUUCUCUCUGCAUCUUGGAAGGGAGGAGGGAGGCUUAUCAGAUGGGCCACGCGCCCCUGCCUGUUGAAUUGCCGUCACUCCGCCUCGGGGACCAUAUUUAGUGUGAGAGGUAAAAGCUAAAAAUCAUCUGGCCAUAGUCUUCAUGGGUCACUGGUGUUUGAAAACGAAUCCGCACGAAUCCGGUUUAGAGGAUAAGUUUUCUCCUCUGUCAGGUGGCUGUGGCAUUGAACUUCAGGAAAUGUGUCCCUAAACACAUGUGGUUCUUUUUGGGCAGUUUUAAUUUCCUGCCCUUGUCAGCACUUCAGCCAUCGUCGGCAAGGCUCUUGUUUCCACUGUAUCAUCCACACACUAGGUUUGGCCCCCUUGGCUUUGCAGGUAGACAUUUUGUUGAGUUUAGAUGGGGCUAGCAAAAUGACUCAGUGGGUAAAGGCUGCCAGUCUCAAAACCCUGAGUUCCAUCCAGGGGACCCCCGUGAUGAAAGGCUUGAGUUGAAAGUUGACCUCCGACCUUCAUGUGUGCACCGUGGCAUGUGAACUCACACAAAAUAAAUAAG